UCCUACGGGAGGCAGCAGUGGGGAAUAUUGGGCAAUGGGCGAAAGCCUGACCCAGCGACGCCGCGUGGGCGAUGAAGGCCUUCGGGUUGUAAAGCCCUGUCAUGCGGAAAGAACGACCCUGUGACGCAUACUCACAGGGAGUGACGGUACCGCAGGAGGAAGCACCGGCUAACUCCGUGCCAGCAGCCGCGGUAAUA
rnacentral:rRNA from 1 species